rnacentral:tRNA from 1 species
ACCUGGGUGGCUCAGUUGGUUGAGCAUCUGACUUCGGCUCAGGUCAUGAUCUCACAGUUUGUGAGUUUGAGCCCCACAUCAGGCU